rnacentral:rRNA from 1 species
AUGUCUGUCAACGCUCUAGAGUUGGUGUGUUGGAAUGUCAGAGGCCUUAACAACCCGGCCAAGAGGAAGGCACUCAGAGGAUUUGUAGACUCGGUGAGCGCGGCGACUGUAUGUAUUUUAGAAACCAAGCUAGAGGUCGUGAACAUUUUUGUAAUCCUGCAACGCAUGGGGCCAAACUAUGAUGGUUUUACCUAUUUACCGGCGUCGGAGACGAGAGGUGGCAUUUUUGUGGCUUGGGACACCACUCGGGUGAUGGUAACAAACUUUGUCAAUGACUCUCAUUGCAUCAUAGGGUUUGUCUCGCCUAAGGAGGGGACACCUUGGUGGCUUACCAUUGUGUAUGGGCCACAAGAGGAUGAGCAUAAGAUUAAUUUCUUGAAUGAGCUCUCGGAGAGAAGAUCGCUAUGUCCGGGGCCAUGGCUCGUGAUUGGGGACUUUAAUCUUAUCCUAUACGCGGCGGAUAAGAAUAACUCAAAUUUAGAUCAGAGAAUGAUGGGGAAGUUCAAGCGUUUUGUGGAUAACAACGCGCUCAAGGAGCUCUUUUUGCAUGGGCGAAAGUUCACGUGGAGUAAUGAAAGGGAGACGCCCACGCUUACCAAGAUUGAUCGUGCGUUCGUUUCAGUGGAUUGGGAGAUAGAUCACCCGGAUUGUUUGUUGCAAGCUUUGUCCACUGAGUAUUCCGAUCAUUGCCCAUUGCAUCUCACACUCCAUGAGCCAAUGCACUAUAAAAAGAGGUUCCGUUUCGAGAAGUUUUGGGUUAAAAUGGAGGGUUUCUUGGAUAUCGUAAAGGAGGCGUGGGUAUGUGAUCCCGGCUCACAGAGGAGGAAAGAUGGCUCAGAAGAACUCUGA